rnacentral:lncRNA from 1 species
CUGAGGAACGCACUUGCCUAACAUUGGCAGGUGACUAAUUUCAUACUCACAGAUCCUCUUUCAUUGCCAUUAGAAGGAAGGAAGGCAGGAGAACAGAGAUCCAGAAAGCUCUCGUGGGAAGCCUCCUGGUCCUGGCCACCUUCAUGACUUCAUGCAGUGCUUUUUGUUAUAGAGUUUACAAUGGAAGAGGUUUCCACAAUUUCUCAACAGAGCUCCUAUACCUAUGGGAUUUGACCAUACCAAGUGCCUUCUCCACUUCCACCAUGAGAACUGUACCUACUCUGUGGUGGAGGUCCAAGACUCAAGAAAGCAAUGUAUUGUUCACAACUGGAUUGUGUAAUGCCCUUCUGAUGGGUCUACAGCUCCUGGAG